UGUAUGAUCGGCUGGAGAUGAGAUUCUGGCUUUGAGGAUGAUUAUACAUUUUAUAGGUUAUCUUUUCUCGAGAAGCGGUGGUGCCUAGGUGUUGCAGAUGGAAGAAGACUUGGGCAUGAGCAUGUUGCUAUUAAUCCAUGUGUGCAUCUUCUACGAAAUGACAACCACUCCAUAAGCGUGUGUCCACGGUCGCGUCUGCGGCUCCUCCACGGUCUCGCCUGAGAUAGCCACGUACCCGCCACCUGAACCAACGAAUAGCCCGAUCCUGGAAUGAGGGAUGGAGAAGAUGGAGAGGGACCACGUUACCCUUCACAGAGCAUAUCAUGGAAAGAACACAGAGGUACAGGGCAUAUCAUGGAAAGAACACAGAGUGAAACAAAGGACUGGAAUCGACAAUUUCCUGGUUUAGUAUAGUCAUUAAAUUAUGCUUCGGUUUCUAUUUGCCGGAUCUUCCGUUGCUAUGCUGAAAAUUCCACUUUUGGAGUGUGUCAAAGUGGUUGUGAUUGUAUUUCUAAGGCUAUAUGUUGAUUAACUUAUCGGACAAGAACAUUCGAGUGUACUGCAUUGUCUCUUUGUGCAUGUUGCCUGCCAAGUUUCUUUAGCAUGAGGCAGAUAUACUGUAUUGCUAUUUGAGAUGUGAUUCUCUAUCCUUAGAAGCAUGUUCUUCGUCCAGAUUUUCUGUAUGCUCUCUGAUCUUCAGAGAUUAUACUCAUGCAUGUCACAAUCUCGGCGGGCAAUGACGUCUCUCAUUAUGCUUAUCUCAUGAGAAAUUUGGAAGGAGAGGAAUGCUCAAGUCUUCCGCCACACCGCGGUGCAUGUAGGGGUUCUUGUUGCUAGAAUUAAAGAUUAGUCGAAGUUGUGGUGUCUUACGGGAGCUAAUUUUUUUAGUAAUGUGAUGCCGCCAGAGUAAUGUGUGUAAUUUGGA